AUAAGAUGUCUAUGACUGCAGGUAUUGCGGGUUGAAAAUCUACUUUCUGUUUUGAGGCCGUAAACCGGAAAUUAGCGUCCGUAGCGUUUUUUUGCUCGGAAGGAUUCGUCAUUCAUCGCCCCAAGCAACGUGUCAGGUCUUGCCGUAACUGGCGCCCGUGAGGCAGGGUGACGAGCUCCAGGCCCGAUGCCACCCCCAUAAUCCUCUUCUGCUCGUCCGUCACUCCCACAAUACGUGCCACCUUGAGCAAACAAAACAAAAACAAAGCUAUCAAGCAUCGCCCUAAAAGUGUUAAUACUGCCGACCGAUGCACGCGCAGCUUUGGGAACAAAACAGCUCGGAGCUAUCCAGCCAACCGGCUACCAGGAAGUGGAAAGCCAUGUGCGAAAACAACGCGCAACACAUCAUGUGUCGAGGGACCGCUGCAGGGCUGAGCUGGCCACCGCCGUGAACUUGGAUGUGGCCUUUUGGGACGUCUCUGCAACACGUGGACUGUUGAUUAGGCACAGCUACGUCCCACAAGCCGUGAAUGUGUGGAAACGGCAUUUAAAAGAUUUUAUGGCCUUUUUAUGUGGCGCUUCUUUUCAAUUUUACCACUACAACAAUGGGUCCUUUUCUUUCUGCAUGAUCACAACAGGAAACUUAGAAGGGAAUCAAUACCUCAUUUAUUAUACAAUCACUGACUAAAAAUGCUAAAAACAAGUGAAUAUUUCCAGGAAAUGUAACACAAAUACAAUUAUAAUAGCAAAGACAAGAAUAAAACUUUAUUUUGAGACAUGUCUGUUAUGACAACAUAGUGAAAUUAACUUUUUUUUUUUUUUUAACUUUCACUUCUAGUUAAUUAAUGCUGAAAAUGUAAUCACAGUUCACGCUGCAUGACCAAGGCAGUGAAAAUCAUAAUUUGAACCGUUGCCAUCCGGAAGAUGGUAAAGAGCAGGGUUAUUCAACUAAAUUGUUUUGGGUGCCACAUUAUUUACCCGAACUGAACUCGUUAAAAAGCCCAAAUGAUGAAAAAGAGAGGACCUAAAUUGUAACCUUGAGGAACACCAAUGGUAUAACGAAAGAAGUUGUAUAAAUGACUAUUGACUGCAUCUGAAGUAAACAAGCUACAGCAACACCUUACUUACAUAAAUCACAUUAUGAAAAAAAAAAUGCCAGAGGACCUAAAGGGGUGCCUUGAGGAACGCAUCACAAUUUUGGACCCCAGUGUUCUGUUUGCUAGCAAGUUUAAAAUGUCAAUGCGAAGAUCUGCCAAUGUAUUUAGUGGUCCAAGUUCCUCUGUGUUUAAGAAUUUGCUGCAAAACGUUUGUCUCCCAAAUUUUGAACUGAACUGGGGGGCCGGUAUGGUAUCAUUUCCGGACCGGAUUUGGCCCCCAGUACUUCAGUUGAGUAGCACUAGUAUUGAGCAAUAACAAUAGAAAAUGUCAGACUGAAAAUACGUCUUUUCCCUAUCGCUGUGAGCAGGUUAAACUCUGCCAACUUACACUAAUAAUUCCGUGCAAUUUUGAAUUGUAAUGAUGCAAAAUGUUUGUGUUCUAGCUUGUAAAUACUGACACUUGAAAUUACAAAUCCAUGCAAUACAGUAAUGUGUAAUAUCUUGGAAUGUGCGGGAGUGUGUGCAUUUGUUUGUAUUAACUUUAGGUGUAGUUUUCAUUGUACUGCACUGAUGGAUGGCACCUAAUUUCAUUGUUAACCGUGUCCUUUUUAAUAAAGGGAUUCUAUUCUAUUUGAAUUAAUCAAAAACUAUGGAGGUUCAAUUGUGUCUUUACUAUGAAAGCUUUUUUUUUACGCUGAAUUUAUGUAACUGAAUU